UACGUAGGAGGCAAGCGUUGUCCGGAAUUACUGGGCGUAAAGCGCGUGUAGGUGGUGGGACAAGUCUGCUGUGAAAGCGCCUGGCUUAACCGGACGAGGUCGGCGGAAACUGUCCGACUCGAGGACGGUAGAGGGGGGUGGAAUUCCCGGUGUAGUGGUGAAAUGCGUAGAUAUCAGGAGGAACACCGGUGGUGUAGACGGCUCUCUGGACCGUAACUGACGCUGAGACACGAAAGCGUGGGUAGCAAACAGG
rnacentral:rRNA from 1 species